GCCUUAUCAAGAGAGACGGAGGGACUAGGCCCUAUGAAGUCCGGCAACCGGUACUAUGUACACGGUGCUAAUUCCUACAGAAUAUCAUUCUGAAAGAUGAGGA
rnacentral:ncRNA from 2 species